rnacentral:lncRNA from 1 species
UUGGCGACUUUGUUUAGUCCAUCAUUGUGAGCGUGCGGUUGUGCUUCGCUAAGUCGUGUUCUCAUUUUUCGAGGUGCGACACCAUUGUUGUUAAGUUUGAAGGAAAGGAGAAAUCUAGGUCUGCUUGAAGGUUAUUUAAGAAGAUGAAAAGUUAGAGUGUUUGGAGAUUUCAGAAAGCGUAAAAAAGGGAAUUGGUAUUAGGUGUGUAUUUUAUAAGCGUUUUGGAAGGA